rnacentral:rRNA from 1 species
CUACCAUGCAGUCGAGCGGUAGCACAGAGAGCUUGCUCUCGGGUGACGAGCGGCGGACGGGUGAGUAAUGUCUGGGAAACUGCCUGAUGGAGGGGGAUAACUACUGGAAACGGUAGCUAAUACCGCAUAACGUCGCAAGACCAAAGUGGGGGACCUUCGGGCCUCAUGCCAUCAGAUGUGCCCAGAUGGGAUUAGCUAGUAGGUGGGGUAACGGCUCACCUAGGCGACGAUCCCUAGCUGGUCUGAGAGGAUGACCAGCCACACUGGAACUGAGACACGGUCCAGACUCCUACGGGAGGCAGCAGUGGGGAAUAUUGCACAAUGGGCGCAAGCCUGAUGCAGCCAUGCCGCGUGUAUGAAGAAGGCCUUCGGGUUGUAAAGUACUUUCAGCGGGGAGGAAGGCGAUAAGGUUAAUAACCUUGUCGAUUGACGUUACCCGCAGAAGAAGCACCGGCUAACUCCGUGCCAGCAGCCGCGGUAAUACGGAGGGUGCAAGCGUUAAUCGGAAUUACUGGGCGUAAAGCGCACGCAGGCGGUCUGUCAAGUCGGAUGUGAAAUCCCCGGGCUCAACCUGGGAACUGCAUUCGAAACUGGCAGGCUAGAGUCUUGUAGAGGGGGGUAGAAUUCCAGGUGUAGCGGUGAAAUGCGUAGAGAUCUGGAGGAAUACCGGUGGCGAAAGGCGGCCCCCUGGACAAAGACUGACGCUCAGUGCGAAAGCGUGGGGAGCAAAACAGGAUUAGAUACCCUGGUAGUCCACGCCGUAAACGAUGUCGAUUUGGAGGUUGUGCCCUUGAGGCGUGGCUUCCGGGAGCUAACGCGUUAAAUCGACCGCCUGGGGAGUACGGCCGCAAGGUUAAAACUCAAAUGAAUUUGACGGGGGCCCGCACAA